rnacentral:rRNA from 1 species
CGAACGCUGGCGGCAGGCCUAAUACAUGCAAGUCGAACGGCUCUUCGGAGCAGUGGCGGACGGGUGAGUAACGCGUGGGAAUGUGCCCUUAGGUACGGAACAACACAGGGAAACUUGUGCUAAUACCGUAUGUGCCCUUCGGGGGAAAGAUUUAUCGCCUUUGGAGCAGCCCGCGUUGGAAUAGGGAGUUGGUGAGGUAAAGGCUCACGAAGCCGACGAUCCAUAGCUGGUCUGAGAGGAUGACCAGCCACACUGGGACUGAGACACGGCCCAGACUCCUACGGGAGGCAGCAGUAGGGAAUCUUGCGCAAUGGGCGAAAGCCUGACGCAGCCAUGCCGCGUGUAUGAUGAAGGUCUUAGGAUUGUAAAAUACUUUCACCGGGGAAGAUAAUGACGGUACCCGGAGAAGAAGCCCCGGCUAACUUCGUGCCAGCCGCCGCAGUAAAAC